AUUGAACGCUGGCGGCAUGCCUUACACAUGCAAGUCGAACGGCAGCGGACCUUCGGGUGCCGGCGAGUGGCGAACGGGUGAGUAAUGCAUCGGAACGUACCUUUCAGUGGGGGAUAACGUAGCGAAAGUUACGCUAAUACCGCAUAUUCUGUGAGCAGGAAAGCAGGGGAUCGCAAGACCUUGCGCCGAUUGAGCGGCCGAUGUCAGAUUAGCUAGUUGGUGAGGUAAAGGCUCACCAAGGCGACGAUCUGUAGCGGGUCUGAGAGGAUGAUCCGCCACACUGGGACUGAGACACGGCCCAGACUCCUACGGGAGGCAGCAGUGGGGAAUUUUGGACAAUGGGGGCAACCCUGAUCCAGCCAUGCCGCGUGAGUGAAGAAGGCCUUCGGGUUGUAAGGCUCUUUCGGCCGGGAAGAAAUCGCACAGGCUAAUACCUUGUGUGGAUGACGGUACCGGAAUAAGAAGCACCGGCUAACUACGUGCCAGCCGCCGCCGUAAAAC
rnacentral:rRNA from 1 species